rnacentral:lncRNA from 1 species
GGGCGGCGCCGCCCCCCGAGCGCGGCGGGGGCAGGGCCGGCGGCGGGCCGGGAGCCCCGGAGCGCUGCUGCCCGGAGCGCUGCUGCCCGGGGGAGCGCUGCUGCCCGCCGGCCCCGCGGGACGGCCGCGCUCAAGUUUGCGCUGAGCAUCGCUGCGGUCCCCGCAGAGCCGCCCGGUCGGUGCGAGUCGCCCAGCAGCGCCCGGAGAAGGGAGAUGCGCGCUCCCGGCGCUGGGAACAGGUAAAGAUCACAACAUGUUGGCUGCCUAUAAUUUCUGAUAGCCAUACAAGAACUCCUGACUGGUUCCCUCCUGACAGCCAUGGCACGUUCACCAACUCAGCAUCAGUACUCAAACUUUUACCUGGAAAUGGUGAUGACAGAGGGAGGUAUUGGCUCCCUGUGAGUCUGGAAAAGGCUGGUGAACAUGUUGAUACAGAAGUCCCACAGAAAAUGGUUUGUCACCAAAGCCAAAGUGGGAUAUGUUCCUGUGAGUUGCAAGUAUCCAGAAACCUCAUGCACAGCAGCAUCCAGCCCAGGAGAGCAUGGGACAGAGUCCUCAGUAAAGGUGGUGACAUGGAGACAACAAAUCCAAGCUGCUGUAAAUGGACCCCUGGCUCUUUUUGACCCCAUUCAAGGCAGAACUGCACAUCUCUCUGCUCAUGUUCAGAGGAUGUUUCUUACUAACAUGUAAGAGAGAGGAAAAUGCUCAAGGAAGAGCCAAGCAGGAAUUCUGAGGUGCUUGGAGACCAAUGGCAUUGACAGCUUGGUGUGUUAGCAUCUCACUGCCAGAGCUUUGAAAUAUGCCUUCACUUAAGACACACACAGUCUUAUGUAUUUAGUGCAUUUCUGGCAAUAGAGUGAAAGCUGAUGUGCUAAAAAUGCGUGACUCACGCAGGCUGUUAGAUUUCAUUUCCUCCUGAGGAAAGACAACUGCUCUUGUCUUUGUCUUAGGGCCAACAUUUUGGGUAAUCUACCUUUGACACUUACAGCCCUAAGCCAGUUGGGAUUUAUCUCUGGGUCAAUUCCCAGUCCCUCUUAACAGAAUAAAUGCAAAAAGCUGAUGCAAUUCCUCAAAAGCGUGAGGUGGCUGUACAAUGGGUGUGGGCUGCCUCAGCAAGGCAGUAAUUAAUUGUCUAAUUAGCUGUUCUGAAUCACUACCACUGUGCACACAGGGAUCCACAGGUGAGCUGUGACAACAAAACAUCUUUUUGGCAAGCCUGUUAUGAUCUGUCAUAGCUCAGCACAAGAGUUGAGACAGCCCCACCUCUGAGAUAUCCAAUGUACUUUACAGGAACGAGCUCUAUACUACAGGAGACAGGAACCCAAGGGGCUUUUUUCAUAUUUUUGUUGACCUAUUGUUGCCAGGGUCAGAGUUAUUUCAAAUUACACUGCACUCUACCACCAGGAAUUUUCUUACAGACUUCUUUCUUCAUUCAGUACAUUCAUUCAGAGGAGC